rnacentral:tRNA from 1 species
GGGGCUGUGGCUCAGCAGAAAUGCCUCUGCUUUGCAUGCAAAAGGUCCCCAGUUCGAUCCCCGGCAGCUUCA